rnacentral:rRNA from 1 species
CCUACGGGGGGCAGCAGUGGGGAAUAUUGCACAAUGGGGGAAACCCUGAUGCAGCGACGCCGCGUGAGUGAAGAAGUAUCUCGGUACGUAAAGCUCUAUCAGCCGGGAAGCUAAUGACGGUACCUGACCAAGAAGCCCCGGCUAACUACGGGCCAUCAACCGCGGGAAUACGUCGGGGGCAAGGGUUAUCCGGAGUUACUGGGUGUAAAGGGGGCGUAGACGGCAGCACAAGUCUGGAGUGAAAUCCCCGGGCUUAACCCCGGAACUGCCUUGGAAACUGGGCGGCUGGAGUGCAGGAGGGGUAAGCGGAAUGCGUGGUGUAGCGGUGAAAUGCAUAGAUAUUAGGCGGAACUCCGGUGGCGAAGGCGGCUUACUGGCCUGUAACUGACGUUGAGGCUCGAAAGCGUGGGGAGCAAACAGGAUUAGAUACCCUUGUAGUC